CCUUCCGUAGGUGAACCUGCGGAGGGAUCAUUACAGAGUUAUCUAACUCCCAAACCCAUGUGAACUUACCUUUGUUGCCUCGGCAGUAGUUGCUGGGCGAGCCUACCCGGGAACGAGCUACCCUGUAGCGAGUUACCCUGGAACGACUUACCCUGUAACGCCUGCCGGUGGACUACUAAACUCUUGUUAUUUUUAAGUAAUCUGAGCGUCUUAUUUUAAUAAGUCAAAACUUUCAACAACGGAUCUCUUGGUUCUGGCAUCGAUGAAGAACGCAGCGAAAUGCGAUAAGUAAUGUGAAUUGCAGAAUUCAGUGAAUCAUCGAAUCUUUGAACGCACAUUGCGCCCAUUAGUAUUCUAGUGGGCAUGCCUGUUCGAGCGUCAUUUCAACCCUUAAGCCUAGCUUAGUAUUGGGAAUCGACUUUACUGUCGUUCCUCAAAUUCAACGGCGGAUUUAUAGCAAUCUCUGAACGUAGUAAUUUUUUUUCUCGUUUUUGAAAUACUAUAAACCUCAGCCGCUAAACCCCCAAUUUCUUAUGGUUGACCUCGGAUCAGGUAGGAAUACCCGCUGAACUUAAGCAUAUCAAUAAGCGGAGGAA
rnacentral:rRNA from 1 species